ACAAAUUAUUUUCCAAACUCUAUAUACAGUCUAUAAUUCUGUACGAUCGUUUUUCGUACAGUCCGAGUUUGUAGCAUCGUAGGUCACUCUUUGGAUGUCCACGCCGAGCCACCGUUGAACCAACAACAACGAUAUAAUAAUUACUAAUAAUAAUAAUAUUAUACGUCAUAUAUUUCACACAGGAAGCAUACAAUAUUUUCUUGAAACAUCAAUCAUCCGGCGAUGGGAGG